rnacentral:rRNA from 1 species
CCACGCCCUAAACGAUGCUGACUAGUUGUUCGGGAUUUACAUCCUGAGUAACGUAGCUAACGCGUGAAGUCAACCGCCUGGGGAGUACGGUCGCAAGAUUAAAACUCAAAGGAAUUGACGGGGACCCGCACAAGCGGUGGAUGAUGUGGAUUAAUUCGAUGCAACGCGAAAAACCUUACCUACCCUUGACAUGUCACUAACGAAGUAGAGAUACAUUAGGUGCUCGUAAGAGAAAGUGAACACAGGUGCUGCAUGGCUGUCGUCAGCUCGUGUCGUGAGAUGUUGGGUUAAGUCCCGCAACGAGCGCAACCCUUGUCUUUAGUUGCUACGCAAGAGCACUCUAAAGAGACUGCCGGUGACAAACCGGAGGAAGGUGGGGAUGACGUCAAGUCCUCAUGGCCCUUAUGGGUAGGCUUUCACACGUCAUACAAUGGUGCAUACAGAGGGUUGCCAACCCGCGAGGGGGAGCUAAUCUCAGAAAAGGCAUCGUAGUCCGGGUUCGUAGUCCGCAACUCGACUACGUGAAGCUGGAAUCGCUAGUAAUCGCG